UACGUAGGGUGCGAGCGUUGUCCGGAAUUAUUGGGCGUAAAGAGCUUGUAGGUGGUUUGUCGCGUCUGCUGUGAAAAUCCGAGGCUCAACCUCGGACUUGCAGUGGGUACGGGCAGACUAGAGUGUGGUAGGGGAGACUGGAAUUCCUGGUGUAGCGGUGGAAUGCGCAGAUAUCAGGAGGAACACCGAUGGCGAAGGCAGGUCUCUGGGCCAUUAACUGACACUG
rnacentral:rRNA from 1 species